rnacentral:lncRNA from 1 species
GCCGGAGGCAUGACACAUAAAUAGACUGUUGUACAUAUGUCUGUUUUGGCCAUAAGCCGAGUUGGCUUUGGCCUGAGCAAAAAUGAAAGAGAAGGACAGAAGAGGGGUAUUGUUGUUUCGUCAUUUUCAGUUACAGUAACAGCAACCACUUUACCUCUUCUUUUAGCUACGAUCACUAACAAUUGGCUCUAAAAACCUCGCUUUAUGCUGCUCCACUCUAUGUUUUGGUUGG